CCUACGGGUGGCAGCAGUGGGGAAUAUUGCACAAUGGGGGAAACCCUGAUGCAGCGACGCCGCGUGAGUGAAGAAGUUCUUCGGCAUGUAAAGCUCUAUCGGCAGGGAAGAAGAUGACGGUAGCGUGACAAGAAGCCCCGGCCAACUUCGUGCCAGCAGCCGCGGUAAUACGUAGGGGGCGAGCGUUAUUCGGAUUUACUGGGGGUAAAGGGAGUGUAGACGGCUAAGCAAGACAGAGGUGAAAUGCCGUGGCCCAACCCCGGAACUGCCAUUGGGACUGUGAAGCUGGAGUGGAGGAGGGGAUAGCGGAAUACCCGGUGUAGCGGUGAAAUGCGUAGAUAUUAGGAGGAACACCGGUGGCGAAGGCGGCUUUCUGGACUGUGACUGACGUUGAGGCUCGAAAGCGUGGGGAGCAAACAGGAUUAGAUACCCCAGUAGUC
rnacentral:rRNA from 1 species